UACGUAGGGUGCAAGCGUUGUCCGGAAUUAUUGGGCGUAAAGAGCUCGUAGGCGGUCUGUCGCGUCUGCUGUGAAAACUCAGGGCUUAACCCUGAGCUUGCAGUGGGUACGGGCAGACUAGAGUGCGGUAGGGGAGACUGGAAUUCCUGGUGUAGCGGUGAAAUGCGCAGAUAUCAGGAGGAACACCGGUGGCGAAGGCGGGUCUCUGGGCCGUAACUGACGCUGGAGGAGCGGAAG
rnacentral:rRNA from 1 species